CAACACUCAAGCUUAGCUUGGUAUUGAACCACAUCCGCAAGGAUCGGUUUUAAAAUCAGUGGCGGCGCCAUCUGGCUCUAAGCGUAGUAAUACUUCUCGCUUCUGGGUCCUGAUGGAUGCUGGCCAGCAACCCCCCAACUUUCUAA
rnacentral:misc_RNA from 1 species